rnacentral:rRNA from 1 species
ACUCCUACGGGAGGCAGCAGUGGGGAAGUAUUGCACAAUGGGCGCAAGCCUGAUGCAGCCAUGCCGCGUGUGUGAAGAAGGCCUUCGGGUUGUAAAGCACUUUCAGUCGUGAGGAAGGUAGUGUAGUUAAUAGCUGCAUUAUUUGACGUUAGCGAUAGAAGAAGCACCGGCUAACUCCGUGCCAGCAGCCGCGGUAAUACGGAGGGUGCGAGCGUUAAUCGGAAUUACUGGGCGUAAAGCGCAUGCAGGUGGUUUGUUAAGUCAGAUGUGAAAGCCCGGGGCUCAACCUCGGAAUAGCAUUUGAAACUGGCAGACUAGAGUACUGUAGAGGGGGUUAGAAUUUCAGGUGUAGCGGUGAAAUGCGUAGAGAUCUGAAGGUAAUACCGGUGGCGAAGGCGGCCCCCUGGACAGAUACUGACACUCAGAUGCGAAAGCGUGGGAGCAAACAGGAUUAGAUACCCCUGGUAGACUGUCA